UACGAACUGUGCGAACGUUAUUCGGAAUCACUGGGCUUACAGGGUGCGUAGGCGGCUUGUUAAGUAGGGUGUGAAAGCCCCCGGCUCAACCGGGGAAUGGCGCCCUAAACUGGCGAGCUAGAGUGAGAUAGGGGUGUGUGGAACCUCCGGUGGAGCGGUGAAAUGUGUUGAUAUCGGAAGGAACGCCGGUGGCGAAAGCGACACACUGGAUCUUGUCUGACGCUGAGGCACGAAAGCCAGGGGAGCGAACGGG
rnacentral:rRNA from 1 species